rnacentral:rRNA from 1 species
UACGGGGGGGGCAAGCGUUGUUCGGAAUUACUGGGCGUAAAGGGCUCGUAGGUGGCCAACUAAGUCAGACGUGAAAUCCCUCGGCUUAACCGGGGAACUGCGUCUGAUACUGGAUGGCUUGAGGUUGGGAGAGGGAUGCGGAAUUCCAGGUGUAGCGGUGGAAUGCGCAGAUAUCAGGAAGAACACCCGUGGCGAAGGCGGCUCUCUGGGACGGUACUGACGCUGAGACGCGAAAGCGUGGGAGCGAACAGG